rnacentral:rRNA from 1 species
AGUGAACGCUGGCGGUAUGCCUAACACAUGCAGGUCGAACGGCAGCACAGUAAGAGCUUUCUCUUACGGUGGGCGAGGGGCGGGCGAGUGAGGAAUACAUCGGAAUCUACUUUUUCGUGGGGGAUAACGGAGGGAAACAUACGCCAUUCGAGCAUACGACCUACGGGUGAAAGCAGGGGAUCUUGGGACAUUGCGCGAGUGGAUGAGCGGAUGUCGGAUUAGCUAGUUGGCGGGGUAAAGGCCUACCAAGGCGACGAUCCGUAGCUGGUCUGAGAGGAUGAUCAGCCACACUGGAACUGAGACACGGUCCAGACUCCUACGGGAGGCAGCAGUGGGGAAUAUUGGACAAAGGGCGAAAGCCUGAUCCAGCCAUACCGCGUGGGUGAAGAAGGCCUUCGGGUUGUAAAGCCCUUUUGUUGGGAAAGAAAAGCAGUAGGUUAAUACCCCGCUGUUCUGACGGUACCCAAAGAAUAAGCACCGGCUAACUUCGUG